rnacentral:lncRNA from 1 species
AUCGAUCUCUUUCUUACAACAAUUCAGUCAUACCAAUAACUGCUAUUUCUACCAAUAUAUUCACCCUCAUAAUCUCGAACUGUAAUACUAUGCCUUCAUAGCUUUCAGUACACAAUUACUCUCAUUCUAAUCACUGGAAUUCUUUACACAAAAUUGCCAUUCACAUUAUGGUGUUUCACACAAACACAAACUCAUUCUCUCUGCUGAACUACAAUCAGAUUUCAGCAUUCAAUCUUUCUUCUUCUCAAAUAAUACCAAUCUCAUUUCCAUUCCAUAAUUCACUUCACAAUAUUCAGAAACUCUCAAUCCUCUUAUU